rnacentral:rRNA from 1 species
UCCUGGCUCAUGACGAACGCUGGCGGCGUGCCUAACACAUGCAAGUCCAACGAAGUAAGUUGCUUCACCAAAUGUUGAAUAACCACCCCAAGCGCAUUUGCCCAAGGGGAAGGUAAAGUACAAAUAUUAAUAAAAUGGUGAAACACUAAGGAUUAAGCAAAGGAAGCAAAUGCGCUUCGCGCUAAUUCCAAGUACCAACACAAAACAAAUUCAAUAUUUGGUGAAGUAACUUACUUAGUGGCGGACGGGUGAGUAACGCGUGAAUAAUCUGCCCCAUACAGGGGGAUAGCCUCGGGAAACCGGGAUUAAAACCGCAUGAUGCUUUUUUAUCGCAUGGUAGAGAAGUCAAAUCGAAUAAGAGGUAUGGGAUGAGUUCGCGUCUGAUUAGCUGGUUGGCGGGGUAAGAGCCCACCAAGGCGACGAUCAGUAGCCGGCCUGAGAGGGUGACCGGCCACACUGGAACUGAGACACGGUCCAGACUCCUACGGGAGGCAGCAGUGGGGAAUAUUGCACAAUGGAGGGAACUCUGAUGCAGCGACG